AGAAAUUCCAAAGGAUAGGAUCAAAAUCAGCAAGGAAUUUUCCAAGGGAUAGCUACUAAUCAAAGAAUCAAUACGGAAUUUCCACUGGCUAGACCAAAAACUGUCAAGGAAUUUCCAUGGGAUGGGUUAAAAGUUCAUAAAAAAUUUGCGGAAAUUCCAUGGGGAUGGCUAAAAUUCAAUAAAAAUCUGCGGAAAUUCCACAGGGGAGGCUCAAAAUUCGCUUAAAAUAUGUGGAAAUUCCAGGGGAGGGGAGACCAAAAAAUGGAUGUCCUCAAU